UUUUGGGGUGCGACAGUGGAAAAAUACCAACCACGCAUGAAUCAAGCAUGAGAUUUUAUCUUCGACGCUGAUGAUCGUUUGGCUAGUUCAACAUCUUUUGUAAUUUCCUUGAUUGUUGAAUACUCUUUUGCUUUUAAAUAUUUUUGUUCAAUGAAUGGUAUGGUUAAUAAAUUGUUCUUGCAUCUUUUUUAGUUAAUCCUUUCGCGCUUACUUUUUUU
rnacentral:lncRNA from 1 species